GUAAUCCUACGGGGCGCAGCAGUGAGGAAUAUUGGUCAAUGGGCUUACGCCUGAACCAGCCAAGUCGCGUGAGGGAAGACUGCCCUAUGGGUUGUAAACCUCUUUUGUCAGGGAGCAACGCCGGCUACGUGUAGCCGGACUGAGAGUACCUGAAGAAAAAGCAUCGGCUAACUCCGUGCCAGCAGCCGCGGUAAUACGGAGGAUGCGAACGUUAUCCGGAUUUAUUGGGGUUAAAGGGUGCGUAGGCGGAAUGCCAAGUCAGCGGUAAAAUCGCGGGGCUCAACCUCGCUCAGCGGUUGAAACUG
rnacentral:rRNA from 1 species